rnacentral:misc_RNA from 1 species
GGGACAAAAACUGGAAAAUCUUCUUAUGCUUGUUGCAGAAAUGAAUGCUUUUCACUACUGAAUCAUGGAGCAUCACAAACAAUACAAGUAUUUAUCUACAGAAAAUUAUCCAUUCAUUUAUAGUCAACUUCCAACUGGAGCAACUAUUUGCAAGAUUCAGUUAUUUUGGUUGGUGUUUCAGGUUAAAAUUUUCAAGAGCUCAUCAAAUCCACUGAUUUCUGUAUCACAGGUGAAAUAAGCAAGUACAUGUAAACAAAUAAAGCAUCCAGGAGCUUGUAAGUCAAGUGAGAACAAAAUAAUAGUAAUUGCUGACAAUCUGAAACUACAAAGUGAGAUGAGUCUCUUAGCUCUUACUCUCAUUUUUUUCCUCCUCAUCAAAUUUACACCGGAAUCAAUUGACAUUCUGGAAAUUAAUCUCCAAGUUGGAGAUGUGAGAAAUCUUGGGCCAAUCUUCCCCUUCCUCUUGUUGACAUCUUUGUUCCAGUAAAGGACAUAAAAAGAUAGACAGCGAAGAAAGGGAGGAGGGCAAACCCUCUUCUGGAAUGGACUGAAGCUUAGGGCAUUUACAGAUCUCCAGUUCUCUAAGAGAGGUGAGGUGUUGAAGUCCUUUGUAGUCCAAAUAUUGCAGGUUUGGAAAAUCCCAGAUUUUAAGAGAGGUAAGAGUUGAGGAUAGUAGCAUCUUCCCAGGGAAAGAUUCAGUAUUUGAGCAACCCAUCAACAGAAGCCGAGUCAAAUUUGGGAUUGGUAAUCCUCCCAUAGAAAAAGAUACCAAAUUAGGGCACUCCCUGAUUUCUAUGGAGCUGAGAGAUGUGAAAUCUGCAUGAUCUGCCUCAGGAGCAAAAAGGGAUGUGAGAUUUGGACAUCUACUGAUGCGAAGUGUCUUUAACUUGCAGAAUAACUCUAAUGGGAAGCACCUCAGUGAAUCACAGUUAUUUAUUUCAAUUUCCUCUAAAGCGGUGAAAAGACCACCCAUUUGCUCCAUUUCCUCUAGUACAGAAUCUAGACAAUGGAAUCCGAUGACUACAAAACGGUACAGUCCAUGAGACAGUUUCAUUAAUCGUAGAAGACGAGAAUGAUCCUUUAUCUUCAUUCUAAGAAUGGAUGGAGACUUUGGAAUUGAAGCCACAAGUUGUUGGCAUCCUUCAAUCUCAAGUUUUGUUAAAGAAGGAAGGUUACUAGGCAAGGCCUUUGUUAAGUUGGGACAUUCUCGUAUGUAAAGCUGUUGAAGAAGAGGGAAAGCUCCACUAUCCUCCACAUAAGAAAUCCAUUCACGCCACUGUGGCAUCAUUUCAAACCUUAAGAUCUGAAGAGAUGAGAAUGGCCUCAUCAUGGAUACGCAACUGCCAUAGAACUCAGGACCAAUAGCCACAACUCCAUCAAAUUCUCUGAUCGAGAGAUCUUUCAGAGAUGCCAACUGCCCAAAUGGUGGCAAGGAGCAGCAGUGUUUACAUCCACCGAGCUUUAAGGAUACAAUAUUUGAGAAAGAAGAGUCACCUACCCAAUCGGGAAAUCUCGAAUAUCCAUAACCAACAAUGGAAAGACAUUCCAAACUCGUAUGAGGUUGAAGUUGCUCAAGUAUGUCCUUUUCAUGCAAUGAACAAUCAGCAUCACCAUUCCACCUCAACUCCAACUCCUUAAGAUGCUUCUUGCCCUUCAAAUCAGUUUCCAUGGCAUCUCGUACAUCAAGAACAUCUUGAAGAUUCCAAAUACAAAGCUGUCCAUGCAGAUGUUGUAGUUUCCCCAAUUCAGUGAUGCUAGAGCCACCAUUUUGUUUAACAAAGAAAUCAGUUAACCUGGCAAGCUUUGUCAGUUUACCCAUUUGUGAUGGCAUUUCUCGCAAUAAUGUUUCCCUAAUAUCAAGAUGACACAAGUUUAUAAGUCUUCUCAAUUUGGAUGGUAACUCAACAAGGUCUUUGCACUGACACAAUAUCAACGUUUGCAAAUUGUACAGAGUACUCACAAUUUCAGGUAACCUUAUUAUUGAUGUUGCAGAGAGGUUUAGAUAUCUUAAAUGCUUUAAGUUGCCAAUUGAAUAAGGCAACUCAGUUAUGCUACGAUUUUGAGCCAAAGACAAUACACGUAGGCGUCUGAGUCUUGGCAAUAAAUCAUGCAUAACUUUAUUGUCAAUGCACGACCACUCUGCAAGCAAAAAGGUGCGCAGAAGUUGGGCUUCGUAGAUGUUCUCAUUUUUCCUAGAAGCAUCAUAUUCUGUUUUCACAUAUGAUAAAUGUCGAGUUCUUUUAGGAAUCUUGCAUGAAUUGUCACCCUCUAACCUAAAGCAAAAAUCUCCAGAAACAAAUUUGGCCAAGUCAUUCACAAGGUCAUGCAUAACAAAGCAUGACAGAUGAAAACUUGAUCUUUGAAAAAUUGACCUAGAGACAAGAUUUUCAAAGUACUCAUCACCUAUUUCUUCCAUCUCCAUAUCCUCAUUGGGUUGCACUAAAAAGCCCUCUGCCAUCCAUAAAAGGAUUAAUUCCUCCUUUUCAAAAACAUAAUCCUUAGAAAAUAUUGCAGAAUAAGCAAAACAUUGUUUUAGAUGGGAUGGGAGAUAAUGAUAGCUAAACUUAAGAGCAGGUAGAAUGUCGUCAUUCAAUAAAUCCCACAUAUUGCUCUUCAAUAUCUUUUUCCAUUCACCUAUGUCUCUUUUAGAUCGCAGGAGACCCCCAAGUGACUUUACGGCCAAAGGUAGACCUUGGCACUUCCUCAUUAUUUCCUUACCAAUGACUUCUAAGCUAGGAUGUGAAUUGAAAUUUCUGUCAUCAAAUGCAUGUUUUGCAAACAACAACCAGCAAUCAUCCUCAGUUAAUCCCUUCAGAUGAUAAGCAGGAACAGUGCACACGUUUGAUGCUGU